rnacentral:rRNA from 1 species
AGUGAACGCUGGCGGUAGGCCUAACACAUGCAAGUCGAACGGCAGCACAGUAAGAGCUUGCUCUUACGGGUGGCGAGUGGCGGACGGGUGAGGAAUACAUCGGAAUCUACUUUUUCGUGGGGGAUAACGUAGGGAAACUUACGCUAAUACCGCAUACGACCUACGGGUGAAAGCAGGGGAUCUUCGGACCUUGCGCGAUUGAAUGAGCCGAUGUCGGAUUAGCUAGUUGGCGGGGUAAAGGCCCACCAAGGCAACGAUCCGUAGCUGGUCUGAGAGGAUGAUCAGCCACACUGGAACUGAGACACGGUCCAGACUCCUACGGGAGGCAGCAGUGGGGAAUAUUGGACAAUGGGCGCAAGCCUGAUCCAGCCAUACCGCGUGGGUGAAGAAGGCCUUCAGGUUGUAAAGCCCUUUUGUUGGGAAAGAAAAGCAGCAGGUUAAUACCCCGCUGUUCUGACGGUACCCAAAGAAUAAGCACCGGCUAACUUCGUG